rnacentral:sRNA from 1 species
GCCCAAUUUCGCACGUGCCUGUGGCCGCGUGCCGGUUGGUGGGCAUCCGGACAAGAGGCCGGACAGCCGCCAGGGGUCUUAAAGGAUCGAUGGUCGACAGGGUGGAUCCCUCCGGCCGGCAUCCAGGUGGCGACACCGGACCCCGACAACAACCGGCAGCCGGAGGCGAAACCGGCGAACCCCGCUCUCCACGGGGGACGCAGCUUAAAGCAACGACGAACGGGCUUUU